rnacentral:misc_RNA from 1 species
GUGAAUCAUCGAAUUUUUGAACGCAUAUUGCACUCUCUGGUAUUCCGGAGAGGAUGCCUGUUUGAGGGUAAUUAAAAAGAAUCUUUGACCAAUUGUUUUUGGUCAUAGGUAAUUAGCUCUCCGCGUUUAUAUUGGUCACUUGAAAUAAAUGGUCAAGUCUCAUUUUAGUCGGGACGCGUAUUAAUAUUAUUUCGCGAAAUCUUCAUUAUGUGACUAUCAAUUUUUUAUGCAUACAAAUUUUCUUUGUCUGCGAUCAAUACAAAUAUUG